AGAGUUUGAUCCUGGCUCAGAACGAACGUUAGCGGCGCGCCUAAGACAUGCAAGUCGAGCGAGAAAGGGCUUCGGCCCCGGUAAAGCGGCGCACGGGUGAGUAACACGUGGGUAACCUGCCUCUAAGAUCGGGAUAACCCGUCGAAAGAUGGGCUAAUACCAAAUAAGACCACAGUUUCUUCGGGAACAAGGGUAAAAGGUAGCCUAUGCUUGCAAGCUAUCACUUAGAGAUGGGCCCGCGCACCAUUAGCUAGUUGGUGGGGUAACAGCCUACCAAGGCAAAGAUGUCUAGCGGGUGUGAGAGCACGACCCGCGCCACUCGCACUGAGACACUGGCGAGACACCUACGGGUGGCUGCAGUCGAGGAUCUUCGGCAAUGAGCGCAAGCUUGACCGAGCGACGCCGCGUGAGCGAUGAAGGCCUUCGGGUUGUAAAGCUCUUUAGUGGGGGAGAAAAGCCCGCAAGGGUGUGAUCUAUCCCAAAAAUAAGCACGGGCUAAGUUCGUGCCAGCAGCCGCGGUAAGACGAACCGUGCGAACGUUGUUCGGAAUCACUGGGCUUAAAGGGCGCGUAGGCGGGCUGUCAAGUCUGGGGUGAAAUGCCACGGCUCAACCGUGGAACUGCCUCAGAUACCGACGGCCUCGAGGGAGGUAGGGGCGUGCGGAACUGUAGGUGGAGCGGUGAAAUGCGUUGAUAUCUACAGGAACUCCGGUGGCGAAAGCGGCGCGCUGGACCUCUUCUGACGCUGAGGCGCGAAAGCUAGGGGAGCAAACGGGAUUAGAUACCCCUGUAGUCC
rnacentral:rRNA from 1 species